rnacentral:rRNA from 1 species
UUCCGGUUGAUCCUGCCGCCGGACCUGACUGCUAUCGGAUUGAUACUAAGCCAUGCGAGUCAUUGUAGCAAUACAAGGCAUACGGCUCAGUAACGCGUAGUCAACCUAACCUAUGGACGGGAAUAACCUCGGGAAACUGAGAAUAAUGCCCGAUAGAACAUUAUGCCUGGAAUGGUUUAUGUUCCAAAUGAUUUAUCGCCGUAGGAUGGGACUGCGGCCUAUCAGUUUGUUGGUGAGGUAAUGGCCCACCAAGACUAUUACAGGUACGGGCUCUGAGAGGAGUAGCCCGGAGAUGGGUACUGAGACACGGACCCAGGCCCUAUGGGGCGCAGCAGGCGAGAAAACUUUGCAAUGUGCGAAAGCACGACAAGGUUAAUCCGAGUGGUUUCUGCUAAAGGAACCUUUUGUCAGUCCUAGAAACACUGAUGAAUAAGGGGUGGGCAAGUUCUGGUGUCAGCCGCCGCGGUAAAACCAGCACCUCAAGUGGUCAGGAUGAUUAUUGGGCCUAAAGCAUCCGUAGCCGGCUCUGUAAGUUUUCGGUUAAAUCUGUACGCUCAACGUACAGGCUGCCGGGAAUACUGCAAAGCUAGGGAGUGGGAGAGGUAGACGGUACUCGGUAGGAAGGGGUAAAAUCCUUUGAUCUAUUGAUGACCACCUGUGGCGAAGGCGGUCUACCAGAACACGUCCGACGGUGAGGGAUGAAAGCUGGGGGAGCAAACCGGAUUAGAUACCCGGGUAGUCCCAGCUGUAAACCAUGCAAACUCAGUGAUGCAUUGGCUUGUGGCCAAUGCAGUGCUGCAGGGAAGCCGUUAAGUUUGCCGCCUGGGAAGUACGUACGCAAGUAUGAAACUUAAAGGAAUUGGCGGGGGAGCACCCACAGGGGUGAGCCUGCGGUUCAAUUGGAGUCAACGCCGGG